UUCGUAGUUCUCUCCUGAUUGAUUGACAGAAAGCAAUGUGUUCGUAGUUCUCUCGUGAUUGAUUGACAGAAAGCAGUGUGUUCGUAGUUCACUCCUGAUUGAUUGACAGAAAACAAUGUGUUCGUAGUUCUCUCGUGAUUGAUUAACUGGUGCUUUCUGCCAUAUUCAUAAACUGUCAUUAGCAGUUAUCUGAUUUUAUUCUUCCAGUUGAUGGGCCAUGCAUGGAAUUCGAUAUUAAAUGCCUUUGUCUAAUAACUUGCUAAGUUUUUAAAUGUGUCCGAUGGGAAAUUUAAUGUUUUUAUCUUGGGGAUGAAAAUAAACUAUAUCCUUUUAUGGUUUAGCAAAAUAGCAUGUACAGUUAUAUCUUUAUAGCAAAAAGAAAUAUAAUUUUUGGGGUAAAUAAAAAUUUAAAUGCUGAAGGUAUCCAAUUCCUAAUUAACAAACUCUUUGAAAAGUACUUUUUAUGAUUUUGAUAGUCUUUGUUACGAGUUUUAAUAGUUAAUGAUAACAAAAUUCCAUUGAUAUUGCAAACAGUCAGCACUUUGCAGAAUAUUUAUACUAAUGAAAUUAUUUAUUUUUUCCCUCUUAAACUAAGUAUAAAAAUUAAAAAAAUUGCUUAAAAUGAAAUUGGUGUAUUAUCGAAAUGUUUUAGGAGAGGACCAUUCAAAACACAGGUUGAAUCCUAGGUAAUGAAUACAGAAAUUCCAGAAAAUCGAAAAAGAAUUCUGGAUCCCGAAAGGGUCAAUCCCGAAAUCUCGAGCUUAAAAACACUCGAUCCCGACGUCCCCCCUCAUAUUGGGUAUUUUUAUACUUCUGCUGGUCUUUGCCAUUAGACUGGUUUUCAUUCGUUCAAUAAUCUAAUUCUAAUUCUUAAUCAAAUGAGAAUGUUGGUAUACGCUACCUAGCUUUUGUUAUAUCACAAGAUAGUGAAUAAAUGAUUUGUAUACGCUACCUAGCUUUUGUUAUAUUUUGUUAUAAUUAUGUUGUCAUUUUAAUGUUAUAUUUAACAAUGCCAUCAAAGUGCGAGGUUUGGCAUGCCACAAAACCAGGUUCAACCCAC
rnacentral:lncRNA from 1 species